rnacentral:rRNA from 1 species
CGAAAGCCUGACGGAGCAAGACCGCGUGAGGGAGGAAGGCUCUUGGGUUGUAAACCUCUUUUCUCAGGGAAGAAGCUCUGACGGUACCUGAGGAAUCAGCCUCGGCUAACUCCGUGCCAGCAGCCGCGGUAAUACGGAGGAGGCAAGCGUUAUCCGGAAUUAUUGGGCGUAAAGAGUCCGUAGGUGGUGGGGCAAGUCGGCGGUUAAAGACUGGGGCUUAACUCCAGAAGAGCCGUGGAAACUGCAUAGCUAGAGUGCCGUAGGGGUAGAGGGAAUUCCCGGUGUAGCGGUGAAAUGCGUAGAGACCGGGAAGAACAUCGGUGGCGAAAGCGCUCUACUGGACGGCAACUGACACUCAGGGACGAAAGCUAGGGGAGCG